rnacentral:tRNA from 3 species
GCCGAAGUGGUGGAAUUGGUAGACACACAGGACUUAAAAUCCUGAGGAGGAAGCUCGUACCGGUUCAAGUCCGGUCUUCGGUA